rnacentral:rRNA from 1 species
GAUGAACGCUGGCGGCGUGCUUAACACAUGCAAGUCGAACGAUGAAGCCCAGCUUGCUGGGUGGAUUAGUGGCGAACGGGUGAGUAACACGUGAGUAACCUGCCCUUAACUCUGGGAUAAGCCUGGGAAACUGGGUCUAAUACCGGAUAGGAGCGCCUACCGCAUGGUGGGUGUUGGAAAGAUUUAUCGGUUUUGGAUGGACUCGCGGCCUAUCAGCUUGUUGGUGAGGUAAUGGCUCACCAAGGCGACGACGGGUAGCCGGCCUGAGAGGGUGACCGGCCACACUGGGACUGAGACACGGCCCAGACUCCUACGGGAGGCAGCAGUGGGGAAUAUUGCACAAUGGGCGAAAGCCUGAUGCAGCGACGCCGCGUGAGGGAUGACGGCCUUCGGGUUGUAAACCUCUUUCAGUAGGGAAGAAGCGAAAGUGACGGUACCUUCAGAAGAAGCACCGGCUAACUACGUG